CAAGAGGCUGCAGUGAAAGAAGAAGUGAAGUGAGAGCGUGUUGUGUUGUGUCGUGUGGGGGCAAGGAGAGCAGAGAGAAGGGGAGGACUGAGAGCCCGUGCCGAGCACUGAGGGGAGCAGAGAGGAGGCGGCCGGCAGAGACAUCCAAGUUCCCUUUUGUUCUGUGGACCGGAGCUGGGAGCCCGUGGCAACAGCACAGCAGCAGCGGCUUCACAGGUCAGCCCCAUCCAGCAUCUCUAUUCCCGACUCCCUCACCUGUCCUUAUCCACCCGGUCCCCAGCAGGUGCCUGCCGGGGCCCAGGAUUGGUGACAUCCUGGGAGCAGCAAGCUGGGGACACUCCUCAUUCCCUUCACUCUCUGGGGGCAACUCCAGAUCCCUGGGAAUGUAGAAAUCUAUAUUUUAAAAAAAGAGAGCAAUUUAAACGAAGGAGUGUUUAGGCACUAGCUUCAAAUCUUGGCUCCCUGCUGCGACCUACGGCAAGUUAUUAGACUUUCCUGGAUUUCAGUUUCCUCAUCUGUACAGUGGGGUUAAUCUGGUAGCCUGCACCUUAGAUGACACUGGGAAGGGCCUGGAUGGAGUUUGUACUGGGCAAAUGGGAGCUGGUGCCAUUCCUCUCAGAGUGACCUGGACUGGAGCCCGGGGACUCUAUGUCUCAGGGAAAUGGCUCCAGUGUUGGUUUAGUCACAGACUAAGUUGGGCCUUGGCGUGGCCUCCCUUUCCCCACCUGUAAAAUGGGGCUAAUAAUGGUAUUUGUCAGGGCUUUCCUGCAGAGACCACAGGUUCAGUCCUCACCCAGGCUGGGGUGAGGCCAGCCGUGAGGGCUCCAGGAGCAUGGCUGGCUCAGCAGGCCUGGUGCUGCCGGGGAGAGGGCAGGCUGCGGGGGGGGGAUGCACGGUCAGCCCCAGGGAGGAAGGCAGGGGUUCCCAAGGCAUAUGCUCAGAUGUAUCCCCAGCUGGGGCUUUGGGUCAGAGCUCUAAACUUGCAGUGGGAUCAUGGAAAUGUCUAUGUGUCUCUCUCCCUGAGAAAUAGGUGUCCUUGGCUUCAGUUUACAGAUGGGAAGCCCUCAAGCACAGAGAAGUAGAGUUAUUGCCCCACGUCCCAGCCCAGGCACUGAAUACUGGAAGUGGCUAUCAAAUUUGCAUCUUCUAGAGGCUCUAGUCUCCACCCUGUUGUUUCCUUAUCUCUCUGUUGACCUAGAUAGAGGCUUACUCUUCCGUAGAGCAACCCAACCAUCUUUGGGAGCCUGUGGCACACAGCACUGGACUUGGAGCCUGGGGCCCUGGGUUUGAGUCCUGGCUUGACCACGGGACUGCCGUCACCUCCCAGGCAAACUCCUAUGUGGUUUCCAGUUUCCCCACAGUCAACUGGAACCGUCUUGGACCUCAGGUAGGGGGUUUCUGUUUCCCACGGAGCUUCAGAUAAUGAAUUGUGGGCCACGGUGAGACGGGUGAGGGUGUGGGGCAAUGCUGCACG
rnacentral:lncRNA from 1 species